AGAAUCAACGCUGGCGGCGUGCCUAACACAUGCAAGUCGAACGAGAAAGUGGAGCAAUCCAUGAGUAAAGUGGCGCACGGGUGAGUAACACGUGACUAACCUACCCUUGAGUGGGGGAUAACCUAGGGAAACCCGGGCUAAUACCGCAUAAUACCUUCGGGUCAAAGGAGCAAUUCGCUUAAGGAGGGGUCGCGGCCGAUUAGUUAGUUGGCGGGGUAAUGGCCCACCAAGACUGUGAUCGGUAUCC
rnacentral:rRNA from 1 species